GGUAGUCGAGGACUGGUCGUCCAGGCCUGACUGAUACUCAGGCCGCGCUGAGUUCGAUUCCCAGGGCUACCAC
rnacentral:tRNA from 1 species